rnacentral:rRNA from 1 species
AUUGAACGCUGGCGGCAUGCCUUACACAUGCAAGUCGAACGGCAGCGCGGACUUCGGUCUGGCGGCGAGUGGCGAACGGGUGAGUAAUACAUCGGAACGUACCCUGUUGUGGGGGAUAACUAGUCGAAAGAUUAGCUAAUACCGCAUACGACCUGAGGGUGAAAGUGGGGGAUCGCAAGGCCUCACGCAGCAGGAGCGGCCGAUGUCUGAUUAGCUAGUUGGUGGGGUAAAGGCCCACCAAGGCGACGAUCAGUAGCUGGUCUGAGAGGACGAUCAGCCACACUGGGACUGAGACACGGCCCAGACUCCUACGGGAGGCAGCAGUGGGGAAUUUUGGACAAUGGGGGCAACCCUGAUCCAGCUAUGCCGCGUGUGUGAAGAAGGCCUUCGGGUUGUAAAGCACUUUUGUCCGGAAAGAAAUCGCGCUGGUUAAUACCUGGCGUGGAUGACGGUACCGGAAGAAUAAGCACCGGCUAACUACGUG